ACCUGGGUGGCUCAGUCGGUUGAGCAUCUGACUUUGGCUCAGGUCAUGAUCUCAUGGUCCGUGGGUUCGAGCCCCAUGUUGGGCU
rnacentral:tRNA from 1 species